rnacentral:rRNA from 1 species
AGUGGGGAAUAUUGCCCAUGGGGCCAACCUGAUGCACCCUUCCGGGGUGUUGAAGAAGGCCUUUGGGUUGUAAAGCACUUUCAGUCGUGAGGAAGGUAGUGUAGUUUAUAGCUGCAUCAUUUGACGUUAGCGACAGAAGAAGCACCGGGUAACUCCGUGCCAGCAGCCGCGGUAAUACGGAGGGUGCGAGCGUUAAUCGGAAUUACUGGGCGUAAAGCGCAUGCAGGUGGUUUGUUAAGUCAGAUGUGAAAGCCCGGGGCUCAACCUCGGAAUAGCAUUUGAAACUGGCAGACUAGAGUACUGUAGAGGGGGGUAGAAUUUCAGGUGUAGCGGUGAAAUGCGUAGAGAUCUGAAGGAAUACCGGUGGCGAAGGCGGCCCCCUGGACAGAUACUGACACUCAGAUGCGAAAGCGUGGGGAGCAAACAGGAUUAGAUACCCUGGUAGUCCACGCCGUAAACGAUGUCUACUUGGAGGUUGUGGCCUUGAGCCGUGGCUUUCGGAGCUAACGCGUUAAGUAGACCGCCUGGGGAGUACGGUCGCAAGAUUAAAACUCAAAUGAAUUGACGGGGGCCCGCACAAGCGGUGGAGCAUGUGGUUUAAUUCGAUGCAACGCGAAGAACCUUACCUACUCUUGACAUCCAGAGAACUUUCCAGAGAUGGAUUGGUGCCUUCGGGAACUCUGAGACAGGUGCUGCAUGGCUGUCGUCAGCUCGUGUUGUGAAAUGUUGGGUUAAGUCCCGCAACGAGCGCAACCCUUAUCCUUGUUUGCCAGCGAGUAAUGUCGGGAACUCCAGGGAGACUGCCGGUGAUAAACCGGAGGAAGGUGGGGACGACGUCAAGUCAUCAUGGCCCUUACGAGUAGGGCUACACACGUGCUACAAUGGCGCAUACAGAGGGCGGCCAACUUGCGAAAGUGAGCGAAUCCCAAAAAAUGCGUCGUAGUCCGGAUUGGAGUCUGCAACUCGACUCCAUGAAGUCGGAAUCGCUAGUAAUCGUGGAUCAGAAUGCCACGGUGAAUACGUUCCCGGGCCUUGUACACACCGCCCGUCACACCAUGGGAGUGGGCUGCAAAAGAAGUAGGUAGUUUA